CACGUAGGCACCAAGCGUUGUCCGGAAUUAUUGGGCGUAAAGAGCUCGUAGGCGGCCUGUUGCGUCCGCUGUGAAAUCCCAGGGCUCAACCCUGGGCGUGCAGUGGAUACGGGCAGGCUGGAGGCAGGCAGGGGAGAACGGAAUUCCCGGUGUAGCGGUGAAAUGCGCAGAUAUCAGGAGGAACACCGAUGGCGAAGGCAGGUCUCUGGGCAUUAACUGACGCUGAGGAGCGAAAGCUAGGGGAGCAAACGGG
rnacentral:rRNA from 1 species